rnacentral:rRNA from 1 species
UACGGGGGGAGCAAGCGUUGUUCGGAUUUACUGGGCGUAAAGGGCGCGUAGGCGGUCACGACAAGUCAGUUGUGAAAUCUCCGGGCUUAACUCGGAACGGUCAACUGAUACUGUCGGACUAGAGUGCAGAAGGGGCAACUGGAAUUCUCGGUGUAGCGGUGAAAUGCGUAGAUAUCGAGAGGAACACCAGUGGCGAAGGCGACUACCUGGCCUGUUCUUGACGCUGAGGCGCGAAAGCUAGGGGAGCAAACGGG